CCUACGGGAGGCAGCAGUGAGGAAUAUUGGUCAAUGGCCGAGAGGCUGAACCAGCCAAGCCGCGUGAGGGAAGAAUGUCCUAUGGAUUGUAAACCUCUUUUGUCAGGGAGCAAAGUCACCCACGUGUGGGUGUUGGAGAGUACCUGAAGAAAAAGCAUCGGCUAACUCCGUGCCAGCAGCCGCGGUAAUACGGGGGAUGCGAGCGUUAUCCGGAUUUAUUGGGUUAAAGGGGUGCGUAGGCGGGUUAUCAAGUCAGUGGUAAAAUCGUGGGGCUUAACCCCUUCCAGCCGUUGAAACUGAUGAUCUUGAGUGGGCGAGAGGUAGGCGGAAUGCGUGGUGUAGCGGUGAAAUGCAUAGAUAUAACGAAGAACUCCGAUUGCGAAGGCAGCAUACCGGCGCCCGACUGACGCUGAAGCACGAAAGCGUGGGGAUCGAACAGGAUUAGAUACCCUUGUAGUC
rnacentral:rRNA from 1 species